rnacentral:rRNA from 1 species
AUUGAACGCUGGCGGCAGGCCUAACACAUGCAAGUCGAACGAGUGGCGGAUGGGUGAGUAAUGUCUGGGAAACUGCCUGAUGGAGGGGGAUAACUACUGGAAACGGUAGCUAAUACUGCAUACCAUGGGAUUUGCCAAGAUGGGAUUGGCUAGUAGGUGGGGUAAAGGCUCACCUAGGAGACGAUCCCUAUCUGGUCUGAGAGGAUGACCAGCGACACUGGAAUUGGGACAAGGUCCAGAAUCCUCCUGGAGGCAGCAGUGGAGAAUAUUGCACAAUGGGCGCAAGCCAGAUGCAUCCAUGCCGCGUGUAUGAAGAAGGCCUUCGGGUUGUAAAGUACUUUCAGCGUGGAGGCGUUACCCGCAGAAGAAGCACCGGCUAACUCCGUGCCAGCAGCCGCGGUAAUUC